UAGUAGUUGGCCUGGUUGAAGCUCUGUGAGGAGCAAAGCAGCCCUCUCCAGGUGAACUGCUUGACUUUACCACCUGAAGGAGUAUUUACUGCAAGAAUUAACAAAGCAGGUGUUCCUGAUCCAAGCAGAACCCUGUUAUUUGAAGAGCCUGAGAAAUCUUAUCCCGUUUACAAAUGUCCUGGGAGUGCAUCCAAAGUGAAACUUGGGCAUCCUCAAUACUAAGAAAUCUCUGAGAAUGACUGGAUCUUGGCUCUUUGAUCUUACCUCUACUCCUCUGAAAAACAUGAUUAUCUAAAAUUGUGUUAGGUGGAUGAACCGCAUCAAAGACUUCCAGAAGCCACUCCAGUGACCAUAAGAUAAAUGUCAGAAUCGCAUAACCCCCAGGAUCAGAGAUGGAGUCUCACUCUGUCACCCAGCCUGGAAUGUAGUGGCAUCAUUGUAACUCACUGCAGCCUGAAACUCCUUGGCUUAAGUGAUCCUCCCACCUCAGCCUCCCAAGUAGCUGGAACUAUAGGCACAAGCUACCAUGCCUGGC
rnacentral:lncRNA from 1 species